UACGUAGGGGGCAAGCGUUGUCCGGAAUUAUUGGGCGUAAAGCGCGCGCAGGCGGUUUGGAAAGUCUGGUGUUUAAGGCUGGGGCUCAACUCCAGUUCGCACUGGAAACUGUCAGACUUGAGUGCAGAAGAGGAAAGUGGAAUUCCACGUGUAGCGGUGAAAUGCGUAGAGAUCGGGAGGAACACCAGUGGCGAAGGCGGCCGGCUGGGGGUGACCUGACGCUGAGGCGCGAAAGCGUGGGGAGCGAACCGG
rnacentral:rRNA from 1 species